rnacentral:lncRNA from 1 species
AGGGGCUUCGGACUUGUGGAGAGCCUACUGGGACAUGAAAGAAGCCAAUUACCAAAAUUCAGGCAGAUACUUUCGUGCUCGAGGGAACUACGAGGCUGCCCAAAGGGGCCCCGGGGGCAUCUGGGCAGCAAAAAUCAUCAGCAAUGUCGGGGAAUACUUUCAAGGACUCUUACAGUACCUUGGAAGCAGCUCUGAGAGGGAGGAGGACCAGGUGUCCAACCGGAGAGCGGAGGAAUGGGGCCGGAGUGGACAAGACCCAGAUCACUUCAGACCUGCUGGCCUGCCUAAGAAAUACUGAGCCCCCGGCUCCCUCUGCUCCAUGGGACUAGGCUAUGAGCCACACAUCACUCCCCUCACCGCCCCCAACAGGACACAGUGCACUGAGCUUUGUCUCCCCAAGAUUUGAGACAGGGCAUCCUAAGGUCCCCAAUAAAUGUUGGUCACACUGAGUUUGUUGAUGGAAUCUGGAAUCUUUGAGAUGGACUCUCUGGGAAGAAUGGCCACCUGGUGUCACAUGGAGGAGAAAGGCACUGUGGCUGAUGAGGCUUGCAGGAGCUCCCAGGUGACCUGUACUCAUGUCCUGUCUUCACAUGACCCCACUGAGCCUCUCUUGUUGUAGGGGCCCCAGUUUCUCCUCCUGAGUAAUCCCGAGCUGGCAAAGCAUUGGCCAUCAUGCUGGGCUCUCCUAUCGCUGGAGGCUUGGCUCUGGCACAAGCCCUGGACAACCCUGCCCCCACUUCUUCCUCUGGUCAUGUUGACACCUCCUCAGUUAUUUGGCUGCUGUUUCAGGCCUCUCUGUGUCCAGACUGUCCACUGCCCAGUCUGUUGCAUCCUGAAUCCAUCUGGCUCCAGGCCUUGUUCAGGGGGACCUUGAGAAGAUACAUUGCUUUAGGAAUCUUAAUCCCUGGAUACUUGUUCUGGAAACUGGCAAAAUGGACAGAAUAGGCAGUGAAACAACCGAGUCCAGUUAUUUCUCAUCAACACCAACCCCCAAUUCAACUGUUAACCAGUCUUGGCUCAUUUUACCUAUGUUAUAGUUCUCAUGGUAGUUUUCCUUAUCUUUAUUCUCACUAUAACGUAUUCCAUUCUAGAGGAGAAGUCAGAUAUAUAGAUAGACACAAUAAGGUUUAGGAGGUCCCACCAUGGCUCAGCGGUAAAGAACCUGACUAGUAUCCAUGAGGACGAAGGUUCAAUCCCUGGUCUCGCUCAGUGGGUUAAGGAUCCAGCGUUGCCGUUGUUGUGAGCUGUGAUGUAGCUCGAAGACGUGGCUCAUAUCCUGUGGCAGUAGCCGACGGCUAUAGCUCUCUGAUUCAACCCCUAGCCUGUAACUUCCAUAUGCCAUGAGUGUGGCCCUAAACACACACACACACACACACACACACACACACACACACACGCACAAAUUUAAUAAGAGCCUCCACAGAAGCACACACUGCUGGCAAUCCAAACUCUGCGGGAGUGCAGGAGGCUGAAGAGCAGUGAUUAUAGUAGCUGCUGUGGGAGUUUCCUAGUAGUCUAAUUAUUAUGACUCGGUGUUUUCAGUGUCCUCUUGACAUCUCUGAUUGGAUGGCUUCCAUAGAACACAAACUUAGUGUGUCCCAAGGUGAACUCCCAGUUCCCUCCAGAACCCUUCAACCCAGGCUCCUCCAUUGCAGUAAAUGACACGACGGUUCUCUCGGCCGCUCACCCCACCCACCGAGGGGCACGCUUGGGCUUCCCUUCCCUUUAUCCCACCUCCCACCCACUAGCAAGUCCUGUGAUUCUACUCCCAAAAUUCACCUCUAGUCCGGCAGCCUGGUCUCACGGGCACCUCCAUGCUCCUGGCCAUGCCCUGCCUCACCUGGGCUCCUGCAGCAGCUGUCUAACUCGUCUCCCCAUUUUCAUGGCUCCCCCUCAGCUUCAGUUGACUAUAUAAUUCAUCAUCCAAACCAAGUCACUGUCCCUUGUGAAAAGGCAAAUUAUUAAUUAUACCUGGGUGACAGGAGUAAACGGACUGUUCUGGACAAAACAGAGCAUAUAGUUACCCUCCCUCUCAGUCUAGCACAUAAACUAUACUUAAAUCAUGUGUCCCCCACUUCAGAUCCUUCAGUGGAUUCCCAUUUUCCCCUAGAAUAUAAUCCAGGUUCUUGUCUUGGCCUACAAAGUUCAAUACAGCUGUUCCUGGCUGUCCUUUACAUCAUCUCAUGCCACAGCCUGCCAAGCUCCCCAUUGUCCAGUCUUGCCAACAAGCCAAAUUCUUUUCUUUCCUUUUUUUAAUAUUGUAGGGCCACACCCGUGGCCUAUGGAGGUUCCCAGGCUGGGGUUGAAUCGGAGUUGUAGCUGCCGCCCUAUGCCACAGCCACAGCAAUGUGGGAUCCGAGCCUCGUCUGGGACCUACACCACAGCUCACGGCAACGCCAGAUCCCUAACUCACUGAUGGAGGCCAGGGAUCAAACCCGCAUCCUUAUGGAUCUGAGUCAAGUUCGUUAACCACUGAGCCAUGAAGGGAACUCCCAACAAGCCAAAUUCUUUAUUAUUAUUAUUAUUUUUAUAGCAUUUUUAAAAUUACUCAAUUACAUGUAUAGUUGUGCAAUGAUCACCACAACCCAAUUUUAUAGCAUUUCUAUCCCAAACCCCAGCACAUCCCCCAACCCCCAAGCCAUCUCAUUCAGAAACUGUAAAUUUUUGAAAGUCUGAGUCAGUAUCUGUUCUGCACAGAAGUUCAUUGUGUCCUUUUUUUUAGAUUACACAUGUCAGUGAUAGCAUUUGAUGUUGGUGUCUCACUGUCUGACUAACUUCCUUAGCAUGAUAAUUUCUAGGUCCGUCCAUGUUGCUGCAAAUGCCAUUAUUUCUUUCCUUUUAAUGGCUGAGUAAUAUUCCAUUGUGUAUAUGUACCACAUCUUCUUUAUCCACUUCUCUGUCAAUGGACAUUUAGGUUGUUCCAUGUCUUGGCUACUGUAUAUGGUGCUGCAAUGAACAUUGGAGUACGUGUUUCUUUUCGAGUCAUGGUUUUCUCUGGAUAGAUGCCCACCAACAAGCCAAAUUCUUAUUUGUCACAGGUCCUUUGCACAUGACAUUUUCUCUACCCAGAACACUAAUCUGCCUACUCUUCAUGUGGCUGGGCAUCUCUUACCUGUGGGGCUCUUCUGAAAUCACUCUAUUGAUAGAUGCCUUCCUGAUCAUCCUGACUGGCCCAUGUGGUUAUUCUUUCCUUUUUUUUUUAACCAAGUUUCUUUCUUUCCCCCCUUUUUUUUUUUUUUUUUAUUUUUUUGCCUUUUUUAGGGCCAAACCCACAGCAAAUGAAGGUUCCCAGGCUAGGGGUCUAAUUGGAGCUGUAGCGACCAGCCUACACCAGAGCCACAGCAACGUGGGAUUCGAGCCGCAUCUGCCACCUACAGCACAGCUCACAGCAACGCCAGAUCCUUAACCCCCUGAGCAAGGCCAGGGAUCAAACCUGUGUCCUCAUGGACGCUAAUCGGGUUCGUUAAUCACUGAGCCAUGACGGGAACUCCCUUAACCAGGUUUCAAUAUGUGGGAUUCUUUUACUAAUUUUCUGGUUUAUUCUUAUUUUUGUUUGGAAUUUAUUUUGGACCAUCUUCUGCUCCGUAUUAUAAAAUUGGUAAGAGAGGUGAGCUUCUCUCUCUUGUUUAUACCUGAAUAUCCCGUACCUGGCGUAUUAUGGGAUGUCAAGAAUGUUUAUUGAAAAUGAAUAAUUGCAUUAAUUUGUUAUUUUACUAAUAAAAAGGUUUUUUUCUCCCCACAGAAGAUCUGUCUAGUUAGAAGGACAGGAAGGAGCUAAUGAAGAGGGAGACACUAACAAUAAAGAAGAAGGAAUAAUACGGGAAUCAAAGGGAAGCAAGAAGCAGGAGAUCAAAGCUAUAAAGGAUGCUUAACCUCAAGGGAAGCAGAAAAGUAAAAUAUGAAGGAAAUGGGUUCAGGGGACACAGCACCUUUGAGGUGGAGGCCCUAGAACCUGCAAGAACUCAGUUGUACCUGCUAUUGUGCAUGACUGUCCCUAUGUCUCAUCACACGCCUCUGUGUUUGCCCAUUUUCUUGUCUGGCUUUAGAGCAAGUAGGUAGGAAACUCAAGGCCAAAGGCACGUCUCUUUUAUUGUAUGCUAUCUUUGUAUGUCAGCCACAGUGCCUCACAAAUAGUUGCUUUAGACAUAUUUGUUGAGAUGGAUGAAUGAAAUCUGAGAAGAGGUAUUGGGGAGAAGUGGACAGAACCUGGAGGAGGGUUUGGGAGUUGUAGAAAGUACAGAUGUGGCUUGGAUCUGCAGAAUGUACUGAUGAGUCACUUUGAGGUAACUGCUUUAUCUACACCUAUGUCACCCUAAGGGACCAACCAAAAUGAAAUAAUUUUACUUUCUCGUAGAAAACGUUUAGUUUUCUGUACCAAUGCUUUGUGCACUCUCUCAUAGAAAUGAAAAUUAAGAUGGAACUGGCCCUUUAUUGUGUCAAAUUUAACUUCAAAUUUUAUGAGUUUUCCUUUGUUUUAUAUAGUGAAAUAUUAUUGUUCUAUUCUCCUGCUCUGACCGUUUUUGGCUGUGUGACCUUGAAUAUAUUACUAAACCUCUCUGAAAAAAAAAAAGAAAUGAAAAUUAGGAACCCCAUGUGUAAAUAAACUAUUAGUUAUUAUGGUAUCUAAUGAGAAACCUUGGGAGAAAGGAAUAAAUAUUUUGAAUUUCCAAAA